GAGUCUGAGUCUGAGUCUGAGUCUCAGUCCUUUCUAGUUUCUAAAUUAUAAGCCCAUGCCCAUCCAUCAAUAACCAUGCAGUUCCCUUCUUGGACUUACCUGUUGCGAGUUGUUUUUUAAUUAAUUAAUUAAUUGAUGUUUUUGGCUUUCAUUGGAUUCAAUCUUUUCAAUGCUCUCUGUAAAAAGGUCUCUUGCAUAUCUUUGUUUAGGCAACAUUAUUUUUCAGAUCAAUGGGUUCAUGUACGGAAAAUUCUUCUUUC
rnacentral:misc_RNA from 1 species